rnacentral:misc_RNA from 1 species
AACACUGUUAACCUGCGGUACCUGCGGAGGGAUCAUUACUGUGAUUUACUACUACACUGCGUGAGCGGAACGAAAACAACAACACCUAAAAUGUGGAAUAUAGCAUAUAGUCGACAAGAGAAAUCUACGAAAAAACAAACAAAACUUUUAACAACGGAUCU